rnacentral:rRNA from 1 species
CAGGAUGAACGCUGGCGGCGUGCCUAAUACAUGCAAGUCGAAGAGAGUGCUUGCACUCUAGGUGGCGAACGGGUGAGUAACGACGUAGGUAACCUGCCUUACAGUUGGGAUACCCUGGCGAAAGCUAGGCUAAUACCGAAUAAUUGGAUUGGAGGCAUCUCCGAUCUCUAAAAGGGGCCUUUAAAGCCUCGCUGAAUGAUGGACCUGCGGCGCAUUAGCUAGUUGGUGAGAUAACAGCCCACCAAGGCGAGGAUGCGUAGCCGACCUGAGAGGGUGAACGGCCACACUGGAACUGAGACACGGUCCAGACUCCUACGGGAGGCAGCAGUAGGGAGUUUUCGGCAAUGGGGGCAACCCUGACCGAGCAACGCCGCGUGAAUGAUGAAAAGGUCUUCGGAUUGUAAAGUUCUGUUAUAAGGGAAAAAUGAUAUGGUGAGGAAAUGCUCCAUAUUUGAUGGUACCUUAUUAGAAAGCCACGGCUAACUACGUGCCAGCAGCGGC